UUCCACUUAACGCCCGCAACGACCACGACGCCCGGCAGCCGUUCCACAUAACGACCACAGUCAUUAUGGUCGCAAUCGCGACGUCAGAUAUGACGUCAUUACUAGCGACCGCAACGAGCCCACGGCGCUCGCCUAUCGUACCUGGGUCAGCGCGGCCGUUCUAAUUUUAUAACCUUACAUUCUUGACAGGAGACAUUUAACUGAUUGUUUGAACACGCAUGCGUUACAAAUUUUUCGUUUUCGCUUUGGAGAAAAUAUAACUACAUGUUUCAGAACGUAACCUUGUGGUGGACAUUACACUAUGGAUGUUCUACAUGCACAAACUGAUCUUAGAUUUGCAACUAGUUUGCUGCAAAGUGCUUUACCAGGGAAUGUGAAUGAGACUCGUAUAAAUGGUAAUGCAACGAUUGAAGAAAAUGAGAAUGCACGUUACUUUUGAAUGAAGAAGAGAAAUUGUUUUCGAAGAAACAUUCCCACAAGAAAUUCUGGGGAGAAGUGUUCAUUAUCAUCGUAUUAAGUAUGGCCGCAGCAUUUAUGAUAGAAAUUCAAAAGUCGUCUUCAAUAUUUUA